CAGCAGCCACGGUAAUACGUAGGGUGCAAGCGUUAAUCGGAAUUACUGGGCGUAAAGCGUGCGCAGUCGGUUAUAUAAGACAGAUGUGAAAUCCCCGGGCUCAACCUGUGAACUGCAUUUGUGACUGUAUAGCUAGAGUACGGCAGAGGGGGAUGGAAUUCCGCGUGUAGCAGUGAAAUGCGUAGAUAUGCGGAGGAACACCGAUGGCGAAGGCAAUCCCCUGGGCCUGUACUGACGCUCAUGCACGAAAGCGUGGGGAGCAAACAGGAUUAGAUACCCCAGUAGUCCCUGUCUCUUAUAC
rnacentral:rRNA from 1 species